GAUCAUGGCUCAGGAUGAACGCUGGCGGCGUGCUUAACACAUGCAAGUCGAACGAAGCACUUAAGAUUGACUCUUCGGAUGACGUCUUUUGUGACUUAGUGGCGGACGGGUGAGUAACGCGUGGGUAACCUGCCUCACACAGGGGGAUAACAGUUAGAAAUGACUGCUAAUACCGCAUAACCCGAUAGGAUCGCAUGAUCCAGACGGAAAAGAUUUAUCAGU
rnacentral:rRNA from 1 species